rnacentral:rRNA from 1 species
GGACGAACGCUGGCGGCGUGCUUACCCCAUGCAAGUCGAACGGAAAGGCCCUGCUUUUGUGGGGUGCUCGAGUGGCGAACGGGUGAGUAACACGUGAGUAACCUGCCCUUGACUUUGGGAUAACUUCAGGAAACUGGGGCUAAUACCGGAUAGGAGCUCCUGCUGCAUGGUGGGGGUUGGAAAGUUUCGGCGGUUGGGGAUGGACUCGCGGCUUAUCAGCUUGUUGGUGGGGUAGUGGCUUACCAAGGCUUUGACGGGUAGCCGGCCUGAGAGGGUGACCGGCCACAUUGGGACUGAGAUACGGCCCAGACUCCUCCGGGAGGCAGCAGUGGGGAAUAUUGCACAAUGGGCGGAAGCCUGAUGCAGCAACGCCGCGUGCGGGAUGACGGCCUUCGGGUUGUAAACCGCUUUCGCCUGUGACGAAGCGUGAGUGACGGUAAUGGGUAAAGAAGCACCGGCUAACUACGU